AUUGAACGCUGGCGGCAGGCCUAACACAUGCAAGUCGAGCGGAUGAAGGGAGCUUGCUCCGGGAUUCAGCGGCGGACGGGUGAGUAAUGCCUAGGAAUCUGCCUGGUAGUGGGGGAUAACGUCCGGAAACGGGCGCUAAUACCGCAUACGUCCUGAGGGAGAAAGUGGGGGAUCUUCGGACCUCACGCUAUCAGAUGAGCCUAGGUCGGAUUAGCUAGUUGGUGGGGUAAAGGCCUACCAAGGCGACGAUCCGUAACUGGUCUGAGAGGAUGAUCAGUCACACUGGAACUGAGACACGGUCCAGACUCCUACGGGAGGCAGCAGUGGGGAAUAUUGGACCAUGGGCGAAAGCCUGAUCCAGCCAUGCCGCGUGUGUGAAGAAGGUCUUCGGAUUGUAAAGAACUUUAAGUUGGGAGGAAGGGCAGUAAGUUAAUAUCUUGCUGUUUUGACGUUACCAACAGAAUAAGCACCGGCUAACUUCGUG
rnacentral:rRNA from 1 species